GUGCUCACUUCAGCAGCACAUAAACUAAAAUUAGAAUGAUACAGAGUAGAUUAGCAUGGCCCCUGCACAAGGAUGACAUGCAAAUUCGUGAAGCGCUCCAUAUUUUU
rnacentral:snRNA from 1 species